GAUGAACGCUGGCGGCGUGUCUAACACAUGCAAGUCGAGCGAGGGUUUGCUCAGUAUUGAGUAUUCUAAGUCUAGAAUGUUCAAUUCUGAGCAAAACCAAGCGGCGGACGGGUGAGUAACGCGUGGGUAACCUGCCCUAUACACAUGGAUAACAUACUGAAAAGUUUACUAAUACAUGAUAAUAUAUAUUUGCGGCAUCGCAGAUAUAUCAAAGUGUUAGCGGUAUAGGAUGGACCCGCGUCUGAUUAGCUAGUUGGUGAGAUAACUGCCCACCAAGGCGACGAUCAGUAGCCGACCUGAGAGGGUGAUCGGCCACAUUGGAACUGAGACACGGUCCAAACUCCUACGGGAGGCAGCAGUGGGGAAUAUUGCACAAUGGGCGAAAGCCUGAUGCAGCAACGCCGCGUGAACGAUGAAGGUCUUCGGAUCGUAAAGUUCUGUUGCAGGGGAAGAUAAUGACGGUACCCUGUGAGGAAGCCCCGGCUAACUACGUGCCAGCAGCCGCGGUAAUACGUAGGGGGCUAGCGUUAUCCGGAUUUACUGGGCGUAAAGGGUGCGUAGGUGGUCCUUCAAGUCGGUGGUUAAAGGCUACGGCUCAACCGUAGUAAGCCGCCGAAACUGGAGGACUUGAGUGCAGGAGAGGAAAGUGGAAUUCCCAGUGUAGCGGUGAAAUGCGUAGAUAUUGGGAGGAACACCAGUAGCGAAGGCGGCUUUCUGGACUGCAACUGACACUGAGGCACGAAAGCGUGGGUAGCAAACAGG
rnacentral:rRNA from 1 species